GUUCUUCUCCUUAAACUUUCAUUCAAAUAUAUCCCUAAGCCCACUCUUAGAACUUCACCUAUGUUAUUCGUUAUGCCUAUAUAUUCUGACAUCUUUUCCUUUUAAGCUUCUCUUGUUCUAUAUAUGCUGGAUUAUAAAUGUCUCUAUGUUCUCUCUCAAGAAACCUUAUGAUAACAAGAGUCCACCGUCAAAGCCACCUAAUAACCUUUUUUUAAUGCCACUGAUCAAAAUUACAACCCAAGGUUUCACCAACUUCUAGGAUCUCACCAAAAUUAUCCUAUGUAUAAAGUUUCCAUAGACAAUCCCUUGUUUCAGCAGCCAUUCUUUCUUAAAGUUUUCUUUGUUCUUUAUUGUGAGGUGCCUUUGUUGGUUCACCACCAACUCCACCAUAGCUUUUUUUUUACCAAGAAAUGGGAUUAGGUCGCUCUCCUGAAGCACACAAUAUAAUGCCAUAAGGCCCAUAACUUUAAAACAUGUAUAUUUGAAAUCUUUUACGCUCUCCAUGAAUAGGUCAUUCACACAUUUUUCCACAACACGACUCUUAUGACUUCACUCUGAAUCACUGGUUCCAGUAGUCCUUUUCCUAAUGUUACAAGAGCACAUGAACUACCCACUAAU